rnacentral:rRNA from 1 species
UGGGAGGGGACUGCGGAGGGACAUUACACAAAUAUGAAGGCGGGCUGGAACCUCUCGGGGUUACAGCCUUGCUGAAUUAUUCACCCUUGUCUUUUGCGUACUUCUUGUUUCCUUGGUGGGUUCGCCCACCACUAGGACAAACAUAAACCUUUUGUAAUUGCAAUCAGCGUCAGUAACAAAUUAAUAAUUACAACUUUCAACAACGGAUCUCUUGGUUCUGGCAUCGAUGAAGAACGCAGCGAAAUGCGAUAAGUAGUGUGAAUUGCAGAAUUCAGUGAAUCAUCGAAUCUUUGAACGCACAUUGCGCCCUUUGGUAUUCCAAAGGGCAUGCCUGUUCGAGCGUCAUUUGUACCCUCAAGCUUUGCUUGGUGUUGGGCGUCUUGUCUCUAGCUUUGCUGGAGACUCGCCUUAAAGUAAUUGGCAGCCGGCCUACUGGUUUCGGAGCGCAGCACAAGUCGCACUCUCUAUCAGCAAAGGUCUAGCAUCCAUUAAGCCUUUUUUUCAACUUUUGACCUCGGAUCAGGUAGGGAUACCCGCUGAACUUAAGCAUAUCAA